UCCGUAGGUGAACCUGCGGAAGGAUCAUUGAAUAUGCAAACCACAACACGCACUCUUUUAUUUUGUGUACCGACGUUAGGUCAACACACGCAAGUGUGUGGCCUACUAACCCUACACACACCAUUGACCAACCACUUAUCAAACCAAACUCUGAAGCUUUGGCUGCUGUUAAUCGGCAGUUUUAACAAAGAACAACUCUCAACAACGGAUAUCUUGGCUCUCGCAACGAUGAAGAACGCAGCGAAAUGCGAUACGUAGUGUGAAUUGCAGAAUUCCGUGAACCAUCGAAUCUUUGAACGCAUAUUGCGCUCGACCCCUCGGGGAAGAGCAUGUCUGCCUCAGCGUCGGUUUACACCCUCACCCCUCUUACUUUUCAAGUGAGCUUUGCUGUGUUUCAUACCAGCAAUCGGGGUGGAUCUGGCCCUCCCAAUCGGAGUAACAUCUGGUUGGGUUGGCUGAAGCACAGAGGCUUAAACUGGGACCCGAACCGGGCUCAACUGGAUAGGUAGCAACACCCUUCUGGGUGCCUACACGAAGUUGUGUCUGAGGACCUGGUUAGGAGCCAAGCAGGAAACAUGGAAACAUGUACUCUGUAUUCGACCUGAGCUCAGGCAAGGCUACCCGCUGAACUUAAGCAUAUCAAUAAGCGGAGGA
rnacentral:rRNA from 1 species